AGAGGUGGCAAGCGUUGUUCGGAAUUACUGGGCGUAAAGGGCGCGUAGGCGGCUUGGUCAGUCCCGUGUGAAAUCCCUCGGCUCAACUGAGGAACUGCACGGGAAACAACCAGGCUUGAGUUCGGGAGAGGGAAGCGGAAUUCCGGGUGUAGCGGUGAAAUGCGUAGAUAUCCGGAGGAACACCGGUGGCGAAGGCGGCUUCCUGGACCGACACUGACGCUGAGGCGCGAAAGCUAGGGGAGCAAACGGGAUUAGAUACCCCGGUAGUCCUAGCUGUAAACGAUGAGUGCUGGGUGUAGGAGGUAUCAACCCCUCCUGUGCCGAAGCUAACGCAUUAAGCACUCCGCCUGGGGAGUACGGUCGCAAGGCUGAA
rnacentral:rRNA from 1 species